CCUACGGGCGGCAGCAGUAGGGAAUCUUCCACAAUGGACGAAAGUCUGAUGGAGCAACGCCGCGUGAGUGAUGACGGUCUUCGGAUUGUAAAGCUCUGUCUUCAGGGACGAUAAUGACGGUACCUGAGGAGGAAGCCACGGCUAACUACGUGCCAGCAGCCGCGGUAAUACGUAGGUGGCAAGCGUUGUCCGGAUUUACUGGGCGUAAAGGGAGCGUAGGUGGAUAUUUAAGUGGGAUGUGAAAUACUCGGGCUUAACCUGGGUGCUGCAUUCCAAACUGGAUAUCUAGAGUGCAGGAGAGGAAAGUAGAAUUCCUAGUGUAGCGGUGAAAUGCGUAGAGAUUAGGAAGAAUACCAGUGGCGAAGGCGACUUUCUGGACUGUAACUGACACUGAGGCUCGAAAGCGUGGGGAGCAAACAGGAUUAGAUACCCCAGUAGUC
rnacentral:rRNA from 1 species